rnacentral:rRNA from 1 species
AUGUUGGGGGAACAAUUCUAUGACUUUUACUAUGAGGUUGAAAAAUUUGUGACGGCUGGAGGAGAGAAAAAUCAGGCCUCUGUCAUUGUGGACAGCAGUGCAUCGCCUUCUUUCCCAAAGAAAGCCAGGAUGAAUUCAUAUCCUGCUUCUUCUGAUGGGCAGGGGGAAACCAGUGCAUCUAUGAUUGGAAAUUUCUCUUCUCAAAAUUAUGAAAAGGGGACACAAAGAUUAUCUGCAGUGGCUGAAAGUGAGGAGGAGGGGGAAAGUGAUGAGGGGAACCAUACUGAGCUUUUGCUCGAAUCUAUGGCCAGAGAAUAUGCAGCUGAUAAAAUGUCUUAUCCUGAAUCACCAGCAGAAAAUUCAUAUGAGCAAAAAUCUGAUGAGAUAUUAGGUGAUGAUAUGGAAAGGUCUCCUAAUGCUGCUGGCAACAUGAAAAAAGAUUAUGUGGUGUGGCCAUCUCUGCCUCAUAUUGUACCCCUUGAGGAAGCGUCUACAGAAGGGGGGACAAUCACAUUGUUUACACUGUUGAAUCGCCAUAUGGGUCUCCAAUGCAUGAUACUAUGGCUCCUGAAGGGCGGGCUUCGCGCAGGCAGUUUCAGAAACUGGAGCGUGUGGAGGAGACGGCCACCAACAGACUGA